AUACUUACUUGACCAGGGAGAUAGUAUGAUCACAAAGUUGUUUUUCCCAAGCCAAGUCUUGCCCAUAGCACUGCACAUGUGCUGACUCCCUGUAGUUUUCCCAUGUUUGAGAAACUUCAUUGUACAAUUUGUGCUUAAGGGAUUAAAAAAAAAGAUACAAGAAGCCCA
ensembl:snRNA U1 U1 spliceosomal RNA